GACGAACGCUGGCGGCGUGCCUAAUACAUGCAAGUCGAACGCAUUUUCUUUCACCGUAGCUUGCUACACCGACAGAAAAUGAGUGGCGAACGGGUGAGCAACACGUGGGUAACCUGCCCAUCAGCGGGGGAUAACACUUGGAAACAGGUGCUAAUACCGCAUAAUUCCAUUUACCGCAUGGUAAAUGGAUGAAAGGCGCUUUUGCGUCACUGAUGGAUGGACCCGCGGUGCAUUAGCUAGUUGGUGGGGUAACGGCCUGCCAAGGCUGCGAUGCAUAGCCGACCUGAGAGGGUGAUCGGCCACACUGGGACUGAGACACGGCCCAGACUCCUACGGGAGGCAGCAGUAGGGAAUCUUCGGCAAUGGACGCAAGUCUGACCGAGCAACGCCGCGUGAGUGAAGAAGGUUUUCGGAUCGUAAAACUCUGUUGUUAGAGAAGAACAAGGAUGAGAGUGGAAAGUUCAUCCCUUGACGGUAUCUAACCAGAAAGCCACGGCUAACUACGU
rnacentral:rRNA from 1 species